CGAGUUAAGGGAGUAACACCCGAAGCCGUAGCGAAAGCGAGUCUUAAUAGGGCGUAUAGUCGCUGGGAUUAGGCCCGAAAACCGUGUGAGCUACCCAUGGGCAGGGGUGAAGCGAGUCUAAUCACUCGUGGAGGCCCGAACCCACUAACGUUGCAAAGUUAGGGGAUGACCUGUGGGUAGAGGUGAUAUGCCAAUCGAACACGGAGAUAGCUGGUUCUCCCCGAAAUAGCUUUAGGGCUAGCGUCAUGCGUUUAGAACUGGAGGUACAGCACUGAAUGGGCUAUGGGGCUUACAGCUUACAGAACCCAAUCAAACUCGGAAUGCCAGUUCUCCAUAGCAUGGCAGUCGGACUCCGGGAGAUGAGUUUCGGGGUCGAAAGGGAAACAGCCCAGAUCAUCGGCUAAGGUCCUAAAAUCUAUGCUAAGUGGGAAACGAGGUGAGGUUACUUAAACAACCAGGAGGUUGGCUUAGAAGCAGCCACCCUUUAAAAAAGUGCGUAACAGCUUACUGGUCUAGUGACUUCGCGCGGAAAACGUAACGGGGG
rnacentral:rRNA from 1 species